GUAAAUGUGCUGUUUCCCCAGGAGAUGGAAGGAGGCUGCUGUAGAUACAAUUUAAAUAACAGUCUCAAAUAAAUGCUAUGCCAGAGAGAGAAGAGACUAGAAGCCAAGGGAGAGAAAGAGAUAGACUGUGUCCAAACCUAGUUUAGAAAGCAGAGGGCUGAUGACUUAAGGGAGGUCAGAGAUGUCGCUGCUGCUGGGAGGGAAGGCACAGGAUGGGAGGGAUGCUUGGGCUGUGCUGUUUACAUGUUCUGUUCCCCCAAAGCACUCUUUUUUUGGAUUAUGAUCGCAUAGGCACAGAAUCUUUUUGAAGCAAAGUUGAUGUUAAUUUCAGACGACCUAUUUCUAGGGGCAUUCUGGGAUCUGACUGGACGAAGCCUUGCGUAUACCACAGGCUGAAGGAGGAGGAGGAGGAAGGCCAGGAAUGCUGGUGUGAAUCUUCAAGGGCCGGCAAACUGAAAUCAUGGGAGAAAUGCCAGCUACCACUAAUAUCCAGGACCCGGAGCCAUGGGCUGAAAGGGUGGGUUCAGGACCUUUUGGAAAAUGUCACCAGACCCCUCCCCUCCAGAAGGGGAAGGCUAAUUAACAUUCCACAGGACAGACUGACCAUCAGCCACCUGCCAGUGGGAGAGGCCUAGAGCAGGUAAACACAUUCCACAGGACAGACCGACUAACGGACCAUCUACAUCCACAGACAAGGGAAGUCCCUGCCACCUCAUUCUCUAAAG
rnacentral:lncRNA from 1 species